rnacentral:rRNA from 1 species
CAUGUCCUUUUGAAUUUAAUAUAAGGUCUAAUCUGCUCAAUGAAUAAUUAAAUUGCCGCAGUAUUUUAACUGUGCGAAGGUAGCAUAAUAAUUAGCUUUUUAAUUGAAAGCUGGAAUGAAUGAUUGAACGAGAAAAUUACUGUCUCUUAGAAAUUAUUUUUUAAUUUUAUUUUUGAGUUAAAAAGCUCAAAUUAAAAUAAAAGACGAGAAGACCCUAUAGAGUUUAAUACUUAAGUUUUAUUUAAAUUUAGAAUAUUUUAUAAAGACUUAGUAUUUAAUUGGGGUGAUUUAAAGAUUAAAUUAAUUCUUUAAUUUUUAAUUGUUGAUAAAUAAAACUUAAAUCUUGUAAAAAAAAAUUAAAAUAAAUUACCUUAGGGAUAACAGCGUAAUUUUUUUUUAAAGUUCUAAUUAAAAGAAAAGUUUGCGACCUCGAUGUUGGAUUAAAAUUAAUUUUUGGUGCAGUAGCUUAAAAAUUGGGUCUGUUCGACCUUUGAAAUUUUACAUGAUCUGAGUUUAAACCGGCGUAAGCCAGGUUGGAUUCUAUCUUUAGUAAGUUAUUAUAUUUUAGUACGAAAGGGCCAAAUAUAAGUUAUUUAAUAAUUG